ensembl:snRNA U2 U2 spliceosomal RNA
AUUGCUUCUUGGCCUUUUGGCUAAGAUCUGCAGUAUCUAUUCUUAUCAGUUUAAUAUCUGAUACAUCCUCUGUCUGAGGACAAUAUAUUAAAUAGAUUUUUGGAGCAGGGAGUUGGACUAGGAACUUGUUCUGUCCACUCCACGCAUUGACCUGGUAUUGCAGUACUUCCAGGAAUGGUGCACCCCCU